UGGGAAUUUGGACAAUGGGCGCAAGCCUGAUCCAGCCAUGCCGCGUGCGGGAAGAAGGCCUUCGGGUUGUAAACCGCUUUUGUCAGGGAAGAAAUCUUCUGAGUUAAAUACCUCGGGGAGGAUGACGGUACCUGAAGAAAUAAGCACCGGCUAACUACGUGCCAGCAGCCGCGGUAAUACGUAGGGUGCAAGCGUUAAUCGGAAUUACUGGGCGUAAAGCGUGCGCAGGCGGUUUUGUAAGACAGAGGUGAAAUCCCCGGGCUCAACCUGGGAACUGCCUUUGUGACUGCAAGGCUUGAGUGCGGCAGAGGGGGAUGGAAUUCCGCGUNUAGCAGUGAAAAUGCGUAGAUAUGCGGAGGAACACCGAUGGCGAAA
rnacentral:rRNA from 1 species